rnacentral:tRNA from 1 species
UGCAUCGGCCGGGAAUCGAACCCAGGCCGCCCGCGUGGCAGGCGAGCAUUCUACCACUGAACCUCCCCGAUGC